GACGAACGCUGGCGGCGUGCUUAACACAUGCAAGUCGAACGGAAAGGCCCUGCUUUUGUGGGGUGCUCGAGUGGCGAACGGGUGAGUAACACGUGAGUAACCUGCCCUUGACUUUGGGAUAACUUCAGGAAACUGGGGCUAAUACCGGAAAGGAGCUCCUGCUGCAUGGUGGGGGUUGGAAAGUUUCGGCGGUUGGGGAUGGACUCGCGGCUUAUCAGCUUGUUGGUGGGGUAGUGGCUUACCAAGGCUUUGACGGGUAGCCGGCCUGAGAGGGUGACCGGCCACAUUGGGACUGAGAUACGGCCCAGACUCCUACGGGAGGCAGCAGUGGGGAAUAUUGCACAAUGGGCGGAAGCCUGAUGCAGCAACGCCGCGUGCGGGAGGACGGCCUUCGGGUUGUAAACCGCUUUCGCCUGUGACGAAGCGUGAGUGACGGUAAUGGGGAAAGAAGCACCGGCUAACUACGU
rnacentral:rRNA from 1 species